rnacentral:rRNA from 1 species
CAAUAGCGUAUAUUAAAGUUGUUGCGGUUAAAAAGCUCGUAGUUGGAUCUCGGCAGGCAGGGGGUGGUUCGCUCUUAGCGCUACUGCCCCAUUUGCCUGUGUGAUUGGCGGAGGUUUCGGGGUGCUCUUCGUUGAGUGACCCGGGGCGCCGUCAGGUUUACUUUGAAAAAAUUAGAGUGCUCAAAGCAGGCUUUUCACGCUUGAAUAUUCGUGCAUGGAAUAAUGGAAUAGGAACUCGUUUCUAUUUUGUUGGUUUUCGGAAAUCGAGUUAAUGAUUAAUAGGGACAAUUGGGGGCAUUAGUAUUCAGACGACAGAGGUGAAAUUCUUGGACCGUCUGAAGACUAACUACUGCGAAAGCAUUUGCCAAGAGUGUUUUCACUAA